UCCUCCUACAAAAGGCGUGUCUGUAGUUCCCUGUCCUGACAUGUAAGAAUGGAGGCCAAAGAAAUGUGAUUAGGAGCAUUUGGGGCCAGCUUGCUCCUCGCAGUCUCCAGCACCCCCAUCCCACACUA
rnacentral:snoRNA from 1 species